rnacentral:misc_RNA from 1 species
UAUGAAAUGGGCAAUAGAUUUGCAUUUGUUACACUAUAGGAACUGUCACAUGCGUGCAAGUUUUCGAUGGUUUGAUUUCAUUUUCUAAUAAUGUGGCAUUUCUUCUUAUUGUGUUAUGUUCUUAUAUGUGCCAAGCAUUGGUCAAGAUUAUAGUAUAGCGUUUCAUUAAUCUAGUAGUUUUGCAUUCUUGAAGUUGAUUGCUGAA